CCCUUAGAUGUUCUGGGCCGCACACGCGCUACACUGAAGGAGGCAGCGUGUACUCCUGGAUCGAAAGAUUUGGGUAACCCGCGAAUCUCCUUCGUGCUAGGGAUUGAGGUUUGCAAUUAUCCUUCAUGAACGAGGAAUUCCCAGUAAGUGCAAGUCAUAAGCUUGCGUUGAUUACGUCCCUGCCCUUUGUACACACCGCCCGUCGCUCCUACCGAUUGAAUGGUCCGGUGAAGCGCUCGGACCGCGGCCUCUUGACGGUUUUCCGUCGAUUGGCUGUGGGAAGUUCGUUAAACCUUAUCAUUUAGAGGAAGGAGAAGUCGUAACA
rnacentral:rRNA from 1 species